rnacentral:rRNA from 1 species
ACUCCUACGGGAGGCAGCAGUGGGGAAUCUUGGACAAUGGGCGCAAGCCUGAUCCAGCCAUGCCGCGUGUGUGAAGAAGGCCUUCGGGUUGUAAAGCACUUUUGUACGGGAAGAAAAGCAACGGGCCAAUACCCCGUUGUCCUGACGGUACCGUACCAAUAAGCACCGGCUAACUUCGUGCCAGCAGCCGCGGUAAUA